rnacentral:rRNA from 1 species
UACGAAGGGUGCAAGCGUUACUCGGAAUCACUGGGCGUAAAGCGUGCGUAGGCGGUUCGUUAAGUCUGCUGUGAAAGCCCUGGGCUCAACCUGGGAACUGCAGUGGAUACUGGCGGACUAGAGUGUGAUAGAGGAUGGUGGAAUUCCCGGUGUAGCGGUGAAAUGCGUAGAGAUCGGGAGGAACACCAGUGGCGAAGGCGGCCAUCUGGAUCAACAC